GAACCGAACAAUGGUUGGUGGUGCAUGGGCGUUCUUAGUUGGUAGAGCGAUUUGUCUGGUUAAUUCCGUUAAUGAACGAGACCUCAGCCUGCUAACUAGCUAUGCGAAGGUGACCCUCCGUGACCAGCUUCUUAGAGGGACUAUGGCCUUACAGGCCAAGGAAGUUUAAGGCAAUAACAGGUCUGUGAUGCCCUUAGAUGUUC
rnacentral:rRNA from 1 species